AUUGAACGCUGGCGGCAUGCUUUACACAUGCAAGUCGGACGAGUGGCGAACGGGUGAGUAACGCAUCGGAACGUACCGAGUAAUGGGGGAUAACUGUCCGAAAGGACAGCUAAUACCGCAUAUUAUUCGCGCGGCCGAUGUCUGAUUAUCUGGUUGGCGGGGUAAAGGCCCACCAAGGCGACGAUCAGUAACGGGGCUGAGAGGAUGAUCAGCCACACGGGAACGGAGACACGGUCCAGACUCCGACGGGAGGCAGCAGUGGGGAAUAUUGCACAAUGGGCGCAAGCCUGAUGCAGCCAUGCCGCGUGUGUGAAGAAGGCCUGCGGGUUGUAAAGCACUUUCAGCGGGGAGGCGUUACCCGCAGAAGAAGUACCGGCUAACUCCGUGCCAGCAGCCGCGGUAAUAC
rnacentral:rRNA from 1 species